rnacentral:snRNA from 1 species
GUGCUCACUUCAGCAGCACAUACACUAAAAUUGGAAUGAUACAGAGAAGAUUAGCAUGGCUCCUGCCCAAGGAUGACACGCAAAUUUGUCAAGCGUUCCAUAUUUUA